UACGGAGGGUGCAAGCGUUGUUCGGAUUUACUGGGCGUAAAGCGCGCGCAGGUGGGUGUACAAGUCGGACGUGAAAUCCCAGGGCUCAACCCUGGGGCUGCUCCCGAAACUGUACGCCUAGAGACUGGUAGAGGCUGGUAGAAUUCCCGGUGUAGCGGUGGAAUGCGUAGAGAUCGGGAAGAAUACCCGUGGCGAAGGCGGCCAGCUGGGCCAGAUCCGACACUGAGGCGCGAAAGCGUGGGGAGCAAACAGG
rnacentral:rRNA from 1 species